UACGUAGGGGGCUAGCGUUGUCCGGAUUCAUUGGGCGUAAAGCGCGUGUAGGCGGCCAGAUAGGUCGGUUGUGAAAACUGGAGGCUCAACCUUCAGACGUCGACCGAAACCAUCUGGCUAGAGUCCGGAAGAGGAGAGUGGAAUUCCUGGUGUAGCGGUGAAAUGCGCAGAUAUCAGGAAGAACACCCGUGGCGAAGGCGGCUCUCUGGUACGGUACUGACGCUGAGACGCGAAAGCGUGGGGAGCGAACAGG
rnacentral:rRNA from 1 species